GACAACGUGGCCGAGCGGUUAAGGCGAUUGACUAGAAUAUUGCCAUCUUCUAAGACUCUCCAUGUCUAAUAUCAAUUGGGAUUUUCCCGCGUAGGUUCAAAUCCUGCCGUUGUCG
rnacentral:tRNA from 2 species